UCAGCAGAAGUUUAGUUCCCCACCCAUUGAUGUUGUGCUCAGCCACACGACUUGCCCUGGCCAACGGAUGCAGAUGAAGUAAGAGUGUGCUACUACAGAGCAGAGGCCUUUAAUGACCUCCCCAGAAAACCUAAGCCAUAGCCUAAAGCCAAACCAUUCCAGCCACCCUGCAGAUCUACCGAGGAGGAAAACUAAUGUUUGUUGUUGAAAAUAUUUUUCACAUUGCCAUGUGAGAAAGUAUGGUUUGUAAACAAUCAUCAGUUCAGGAAAAAUGUCUCACCUCUCUUAAUAAACUGAGCCAUUGAGUGUGAU
rnacentral:lncRNA from 10 species